UCAAAAAAAAUAUAUAAAUAAUAAAGAAAAAGAAAUCCAAUUCCACCUAAACUAAGUUUUCAUUUCUCUAACUAUAGCAGCAACAUGAUUUGUUGAGAAAAAUAGCUGGAAUGGGAGUAUACAAAUUUCCUUAUAAAAUCUUUCAGAAGAAAGAAAACCUGAGUAUUUCAGACUUAUAAAUUAAAAUAAACAUUUACUUUUAAAACCAAACAUUUAAUAGUAGAAAAGUAUAUUCCCUUAGCAACUUAAAAUUAAUUCAAUAUUUUCCCUGAAAGUCUUUUAUUAGUUUCAAAUAGAGGGUAACUUUUAAAAACAUCAAAACUGCCAUUCCUUCAGGAAUAACGGAGCCCUCGAGGGGAAUAGAUUAGAAAAUUAAUAUAUGUUUGAGAGACAAGGUGAGGAAAAGUACAAAACUUUUAGUAUUUACACAUAAAAGGUUUUUGAAACCUUAGGAAUCUGAAGUUGACAAUAUACCUUAAAAAUAUCAAACUAUGAGGCAAUGAGAAGAGAACAAGAGACUUUUUCAAACCUUGAAAUGUUCUAAGAGACACAGAAUGAUUUUUUCCAUCCACUAUGGUCUAAAAAUAAGAGCAAACUAUAAUAGAAGUAAUGAUUUUUGGUACAUAUAUAUAUGAAAACGUCCAAUAAGCAAUUUCAAUUAAUCAAUAAAGUUAAAACAACCAUUAAAUGUAAUUUGCAUUUUUGUAUCAAAUCCACACACUCUCAGAUACCAAGAUUGUCUUAAACACAACAUUAAGUGGCCGGAUAUCUAUCAUUGUGGAGAAACAAGAGUUUUAUUUUAGGCAAACCAAAGGAGAAGAAAGACACACACUUAGCAAGAAUCACAUAAGGAGUCUCACUUAGCAGCCUGACAUCAGAAGUCAGCAUGGACCAAGCCACGGGUUACCCAUUGCUCUGCAAGUGGCAGCUUUUUACUGUCUGCCAGUGUUCUGGGGGCUGAGUGGUCAAAACUGGAGCACCUCCUGCCAGCAAACUCCAGCCUGCUACCCAGCAGGACACAGGUACAGACACACCACACACUGCCCUCAGUCCACCAGAGACAGAAGGAAAAAAAAACCAACAAAUGAAAGAGGGAAAACAACCUCUCCCAACACGCCCCCACUGGGGGUUGGCUGUAGGGGUGGCCGGGUCCAUUACCAUUUCAACUUCAACACUCAAGAACAAGUCCAAGGAGAUCAGAGUGAGAGGCGCUGGCAAUGGACUAGGAAGCUCGGCCGCCGCUGCUACAGCUCCCCCCUGGGCUCCAGCGAGAGCCUUUCCCUGUCAAGCAAGAGGGGUGAGGAUCAUAUUUUUAUUUUGGAAACUAAAAAGUGCUCCCAGGGUCGGUGAUUAUUAAGGGGAAAUCCCUGAAUAUACUCUCCAGCCAAGAAGGCAGGGCUGCCGGGGCUGCACCAGAAGAGGCAGCAGCCUCCUACAGCACCACUACAGGCACUGUGAGGACAUAACACCAGAGAGCAGUUCCUCUGCCCUCCGAAACGACAACUUUCCUACCAUCUUGGAGGCAGAGGAAAGGGGGGCCAGGGGGAAAAGUGCACCCGUUCCCGAUAAAGUACAGAUUUUUACUUCUCAUCUCUGGAAAAAAGUCCACACCUGCUGUCUACACCGGCGCCUGAGGGAAAACGCAGGGAAGAAACUGGGGGAGCAUGAGAAACCUUUUCAUUUGCUCCAGGGGGAAAAAUGUUUCUGCAUCUUCUGAUGGAAAGAAAUCUUUACAAGACACAGGUUUUCCGGUGAUUAUUGUUUUCUAUUUUCUAUUUAAUUUUUCCCAUGUUAGUGACAACAGUAUUUUAUUUUUUUUCAGGCCAAUAAUGAUUUUUCUCCAUUACAGGUCUAAGUUCUGUGUCUUGUGGUCAGUCUAUAAAUUUACAUUUCCAGAGACUUUAUAGUCAGUUCAUUUAUUUGUCUAUUUAUUUAUGUUGUAUAUAUAAAUAUAUGUUUCCAUAUAGUAUAUAUUAAAACUUGUGUUAUACUCAUAUAUUACUCUCAAAACUGAGAUUUCUGUAAGACAAUUAAUUGUAAAGGGAUAUCUUUUGUUUCCCUCUCUCAAAGCAAUGUAAAUAAAAACCUAUGGACUGUCCA